rnacentral:lncRNA from 1 species
AUGUGGCUGCCAUUCUGUAGCAAAUCUGCACAGGAAAGCAAACAGCGUGUCACCAUAGGAUGGAUCUUAAAUACCUCAAACUUUGGGCCCUCAGAGAUAGAUGCGGGAGAAGGACCAGAGCCAGGAGUAAGGGGUUUUAGAAGCUCCAGGCCUCUUUGUCCUUUCCGGGGCUCUGGGACAGCUCAGACACCUGUGGAUGAUGCAGUCCUACUUUGCCGGUUCCUACAGCCAGGACUGGAUGGAAUGUGGUUACAUCAGCAGCCGACGGCCGGCAAACCUCCCUCUGACAGGUGUUCGGUGGGAGGCAGUCAGUUCUGAAUCGUGGUCUCUUAAUGAUGGCGGACGUGCCUCAGAGCCAGUGAUGCCAAUAAGCCUUUAAAAGAGAACUCCUCAGAGCAGAGCUGCAAUGGCCAACCCGGUCCAGACCCUGUGUGUUUCCUGAGCCUGUCUGCCUGAUGCCUGGCCUCAGCAUGAACCUUUUCUGGGACUGCAGCAUUUGCAAGUCUUCCCCACUUGGAUGUGGCUGUGAGCCUGCACACCUCCUAGCCUUUUGGCUCUGCUUCUGCUUAUCCUGUAUCUGGUAUAGGUGACUUAUCCAGGCCUUUUGCUCCUUUAGGGCCACUAUGCGUAAUAAAGGUACUGCCUUCCUUUACCCCA